rnacentral:lncRNA from 1 species
UCCUGCACGUGUAUCCCAGAACUUAAAGUAAAAUUAAAAAUAAAUAAAUAAAUAAAUAACAAGAUCCUGAAGAGUGGCUAAUUUACCAAGCUGUGUAUCAGUUCAUGGAUUCCUCUCUGGGCAGCCAGAGUCCCUCCUUAGGUGAUAACAUGAACACCUAACAUUGGCAUAUGCCCAAGUAUUUGAAACUGCGAGUGGGGAUUAUAUGGAAAACUGUCUGAAGUGCCUAAUAAGGGUUUAUAGUACACAAUCUUCCCUCAAUUAAUGGGUAGCAUUUGUCUCUCUUCUAAAACACCAUAAAGUCUUUGAACCAGCAGCUGGAAACCAUAAUUUGGGAAGGGAUGCCUAACAUUCUAAGGAGACUGCAUUGCUGGGCUAAUUUUGAUUGUAUAAGAACCUACAACAGUCCAAUUCCCAGAGUCUGUGGACCGAAAUAAAUUCAGCAGGAAACUGUAGUCUUACUGAGUGAUAAUAUGAUUUGACACCCAAGUAAUAGAAACAUGCAUUGGAGGACAGAAGAAAUGUCAGCACCAGCCCUUUUCCACUUGUAAAACUCCUCAUUCUUCUUCAAGAUGCAGCCCAAAUGCAACCUCCUCUCUGAAGCUUUCCUGAACUCCCUUAGGCUGAGUUACUCAGGCCCUCCUGUGUCCUGUAGCCCCUUCUCUUGCUCAUGUAAUUAUGUUUCUAUGUCUGUGACCGCCAUUAGAUUUUAGCUCCUCCUGAAUAACAGUUUCUUAGUGACUUUUAUAUACUCUGCAAACAGCACACUGCUUGGCACGUAGUAGAUGCUCACAAAAUAUUUGUUGUUGAAUUAAUGCAGUGGGUCUCGAUUUCCCUCCUUUUCUUCCCUAAGCCUGGAGCUAAGGCAGGUGAACCUUCAGAGUCCUUUGAGGGGCAGAGAGAAGUCAAGUCAAACCUGGGGGAAGGUGGCCGCCUCUGCUUCCGUGGCUCCCUCAAGAACAUGCUUGUGGAACCUUGCACCGUGAGGACUGGAAGGCACCUCAGAGUAUCUAGAGAGCUAGGAGAUGUCCUUGGGCAAGAUACUGUGAUACCAAAUGUUAUUCAUUUAACAAACCUUUGUCAAGGGUCAACACAUGCCAGGCCAUAAAGAAGCUACAGUUCCUAUCCUUACAAAUCAUACAGGGUGAGGCAGAGACAGACCUGUACACAGGUAUAAUAGGCACACAGUACUGUGUGACAAGUGCUCGGACAGGAGGGAGCACAGGAAAGGACACUGAAGAACAGACCUUGAAUAUCUCGCAGGAGAGUCCAUGUCAAAGCCAAGAGCCCACAGCGGAGCGAAGUUGCCUUGGAGGAGGAAGCGUCACAGUUCUCUGUGACAGAACAAGAGGACUGCCCCGCCCCUUUCUCAGAAGGGGCAUCAUAGGAAGCAGAACUGGCUAGAGCAUCUCCACCAUCUUCCUUCAAGCACGUGGACCGACACCCAGGCCUCCUGGUGUCCUGACACUGCAGACUCCUGGAAUAUACCUCCACCAGCAGGCAGGAAUCUGUCCUAUUCCCAGCAACCACUAGAGGCACUGCCUGACCCUACUGCGGCCACAAGCAGAGGGACCCCAGGAUUCUCAAAUCUGUUACCUUGUCUCACCUCCCCUAGGAAGCAGAAGAGUGCUAUGAAAAUCUUUAGCUGCUGAUCACAGCUAUAAACGAGAUGAGGAGGGUCCCUGUCCUCUUGGUGUUUCCAGUCUCCCAAAGAAGACAGACAUGAAACAAUGAUGGUUACAGUUCAAGAUGGAGGAUUCUCCCUUUUGGAUAAUGAAAGAACUAAGUUUUGGCUUCUAACAACCAGAAGAGUCUCCCUGUGGAGGCAGGAGAGAACUGCAGCUGGGCUGCCCCUUUGUGAGGCUCCUCAGAAGUUUCCUGACUGAAAGGUCCAAUACCAAGCUGCCCAGUACAAAACUGGUCUCCUGGCAACUAUAGCUGAAUCCACCAUCGCCUCCCCUAAGAAGGUGGGACCCUUACAGCAACAUGGUGCUGUCGUUGUGUGGAGCCAUAAAACGGUGGUGUGUCUGGGGCAGCGGGGGUCCGUGACGGCUGAGAGGGACCGGCCUGGAUAAGGAAUGGGAAAGUUAAAUUCCCCACCUUUGCGUGGAGCCCCCGAGUUAGACUUGGGGUCUCAAAUGUAUACUUCAGGACACAAUCAAAUUAAAAUCCUACCCAUGCUUUUGCACAGAGUGCUUAUCAGGGCACGUUCAUCCAAGAGAACUGAGGAAUGAGGAACAAAGAAAACAAGUUAACAUUUACCACGGCUUCCGCUACGCGCUUUACAUGAAUCAUUUUUGUUUCUUGCCAGAACCUAUGAGAUAACGUGCAGUUGCCAUAAGCACGGGAUGAUGGGCGGAAGCAGUUGCCAUAAGCACGGGAUGAUGGGCGGACCCACAGGCAGCAGUAAAGUUAUGUGCAGGGUGAAGGAUGAGGACUGAGGGGACUCGAGCAGGCAGAGGGCGCAGAGGUAAGGAGAGGGAAGCCCAUAGACUGGAGGUUACCCAGAACGGCAGCCACCCUCAUCUCACAACCCCAACCCGAUUCCCUGGAUUUCUGGGAAGCUUAAGCCUGUGCCUUUCACUCAGCAUUGUCAAGAUACCAUUGUGGAGCUGGGUUCAUUCUACAAACCUCACUGGGUGCCUACUGUGUGUCUGACAAUGCUGGGCACUUGGAGGACACAGUGGGUGGGUCAAGGAAUCUAGUGGGGGCAAAAGACAAGUAGCUGAACAAUGACCAGACAGGAGGCAAGGCUGCUGGGGCAGAUAAGGCCUAAAACAGCCCCAAACCCAAGAUCAGCUGUGACGUGAAGGAAGCAUGACAGUAAACAAGGCCAGUGGUGGAGGUGGGAGUGGUGGUCGGAGAAAGAGGUGAUGGUACUCCAGGCAGAGUGAACAGCAUGUGCAAAGGCUCAGAGGCAAGAAGCAGCAUGAAGCAUGCUUGAGACUUCAGGUCGUGUCCUUGGAGGUGAGAAGGGGAGGACACACAGUGGAGAGGGUUGCUCCUGGAAUCCCUAGGUGGCAAGCCUGUCUCCUCUGCGUCUUUCUUUUCACAUCCCCUUGGAUGGCUUGCUCGCUCAAUAAACAGUGCUGCCCAUUCUAUAAUCCAGGUGCACGGUCGCUGAGCAUCAGGAGUGCAUUCUGAUCUCGGCCCCACCCGGCAGCUGCUGAGAGAAACCCUUCCACACACACCACUCCCCUCUAGCCCAGCAGCCACAGUAUUUCCUCUUGGAAAGAGCCAGGCUAUUGUUGGGUGUGCCCAACAUCUCCUGCUGCCAUAGUGAGGGCUGGCCAGGUGUGGGGCGAGCAUGAGGGAAAUUAGAGGCCCUCCCUGAUUGUCACUUUCCCUUGGAUGGUUCCUAAACAUAAGAGGUCCAAAGUUCAAGGCCGGGCCUCAUCUAUCCUGCACCAGACCCUGGGACUGGAGCAGUGUGGGGAGGGGGAGUCUGCGGCUUAAGGACCACUCUUACCAGCAGCCAACAAGCAGGUCCCCGGGGAACAAGAGAAGGUGAACACCACUUCCCAGAGGACCCCUAGGAUGGGCUUGCUGAGCCAAGCUUUAUCUCUUGAGCUUUUCAGAGGUACGGGAGCAUCCCUCUCCACGCAUCCAAACCAUUCAGCCUUUUCCCAGGAAUGCCUUGAAUCGGAAGCAAAGGCUUUAUUCCACAAUUGGAGAGCGGGCAAAACACCAAUCCCACCUGAGGAGUCCCAGGUGUCCCCAAAGUCACACCAAGUGUGCAUGACUGACAGUAGAGCCUUUCUACAACCAGGUUUCUUUGGGAUAAAAGACAAAAAGGGAAGAAAAGUAACUGAGGCCUACUGGCAUCUACAGAGCACUCAAAGGCAUCCGAAUGCAUCCAAAAACUGUUAUAGCUUUGCUGAAACCACCAUUUUCUAAGGGAAAACUGCUGAAAGCAAAUCCUUAAUUCUCUCCAGAGGCAGAGGUACAGACAAUGGCAAAGAAGUGACCAGCCACUCCCAAAGAGAUCAGCCUUAGGGCGGAAUGUGUCAGUUCCCAGCCCCUAAACCCUCUGGCCUCACCCAGGAACCCCUGCUCUCACCCUGUCCAGAUCCCUCACUAAGGUCUCUCCCCUCAGCCUUCCACCGUCAAAAACAGGUAGGACCUCCGAUCAAACAGAUCUUUAACAGAUCAAAUCGUCCUUCCACACAUGUGGGGCCCGUGAGACCUCCGGGGGACUCGGUAUAUUAUCAGUCUUACCUCCCCAGCAGAAUGCAGAUGUUACCUGAAUAUUCACUGGAGGAGCAGUGAUAGGGAGGGAGGGGAAACGGAACCAGUCGGGUGCCAAGGCCUCUCCGAAGCCUGCGACUCCCGCUACAGACGUCAGGGGGCGCCAGAGGCCGGAGCACCGGGUCCCCGGUCCCGGAGCCCCAGUUUUCCCAGCCGAAACCGAGACUGAGACCACGCGUGCUGCCCCGAGGCGCGGGCUGAGGGGCCGCCGGGCUGGGAGCUUCAUGCUCGCCUCGGUUUACUGAGGUCAUCCAGCCCCAGUGGGCUGGCUGCCUUAAAAUAGCCUAGCUGCAAAGCCAUUAGGAAAGAAAACGUGUGUGUGAAUGUUUAUAUAUGUUUUUAUUUAUGUUUAUAUAUGUUUAUAUGUAUAUAAUUUAAACUUGUUUCUUCGAGUGCAUUAAAAAAAUGGGCUCUUUCUUUUCUCUGUGUUUUUUGUUUGUUUG